rnacentral:rRNA from 1 species
CCUACGGGAGGCAGCAGUGAGGAAUAUUGGUCAAUGGACGAGAGUCUGAACCAGCCAAGUAGCGUGAAGGAUGACUGCCCUAUGGGUUGUAAACUUCUUUUAUAAAGGAAUAAAACGAGGCACGUGUGCCUUUUUGCAUGUACUUUAUGAAUAAGGAUCGGCUAACUCCGUGCCAGCAGCCGCGGUAAUACGGAGGAUCCGAGCGUUAUCCGGAUUUAUUGGGUUUAAAGGGAGCGUAGAUGGGUUGUUAAGUCAGUUGUGAAAGUUUGGGGCUCAACCGUAAAAUUGCAAUUGAUACUGGCAGUCUCGAGUACAGUUGAGGUAUGUGGAAUUCGUGGUGUAGCGGUGAAAUGCUUAGAUAUCACGAAGAACCCCGAUUGCGAAGGCAGCUUACUAAACUGUGACUGACAUUGAUGCUCGAAAGUGUGGGUAUCAAACAGGAUUAGAUACCCCUGUAGUC